ACCUCGGUGGUGUAGCGCUAGCACGCGUCCCCGGGAUGGAUGAGACGCGGGUUUGACUCCCGCGUGAGGUC